GCGAGAACGUGCUGGUUUCCACCGGCAUUCACACAACAGAUUCAGUGGUAGAUGCAUUGUCAUAGCCGCAAACCUCCGAGUCUAACACUCUCUCCUACCCUGGUGUUAGAAUUUGACAAUUCUUUGUUACAGGAAUAAUAUGAAGGCGUUUGGCUACCCAUAAGUCCCCGUUUGGAUAAAGUUUCAUCAGCUAUAUAUUUGAAUUUCUUCUUUGAUUCGAAUAUUGAAACAUCGAUCUACGGAUAACUAUAGAGAUGAAGUGUUGCGCAUUUGCCAUCAUAUUGUGCCUGACAGUACAUUCUGUUAAUACCAGACCCAAUGGUUCCGGACACUUUCAGUUGUCUUUGUUCCGGUCUCUUCAUUAUAGAGAUGGUAACAGCCAACUUGGGGGCAUUCCUCAGCAGAAUGAACUAGAACCACUCCAGCAUGAAUUUCCAGACCUCAACGAUAUUCAAAUAAAGGAGGAGAGACCAUGCAAAUGCGAUAAGAGUUAUGAGAAAUUCAUCAAAGAUAGAUAUUCGCGAUUCAGCAAAUCGAAAAUUCGAGGCAUGUUGUACCGGUUUGGGAAAUAAUGAGAAAAUUGAAGAACGGUUCAAACAGACAGAAAUGACCACAAAUGGCUUUAUUGAUGUACAUUUAUCAUUUUCAUGUGUUGUCCUUUAUAUCAGUUGAAAUAAAUCUAUGAAAAUAUUA